rnacentral:rRNA from 1 species
AUACGGAGGGUGCAAGCGUUGUUCGGAAUUAUUGGGCGUAAAGGGCGCGUAGGCGGUAGUGUAAGUCAGAUGUGAAAUACUCCGGCUCAACCAGAGAACUGCAUCUGAAACUGCGCAACUAGAGUACAGAAGAGGGAAACGGAAUUCCCGGUGUAGAGGUGAAAUUCGUAGAUAUCGGGAGGAACACCAGUGGCGAAGGCGGUUUCCUGGUCUGAUACUGACGCUGAGGCGCGAAAGCGUGGGGAGCAAACAGGAUUAGAUACCCUGGUAGUCCACGCUGUAAACGGUGAACACUAGGUGUGGGAGGUGUAAUACCUUCCGUGCCGUAGCUAACGCGUUAAGUGUUCCGCCUGGGAAGUACGGCCGCAAGGUUGAA